rnacentral:rRNA from 2 species
AUGAAGACCGCAGCUAAAUGCGCGUCAC